rnacentral:rRNA from 1 species
UACGAAGGGGGCUAGCGUUGUUCGGAAUUACUAGGCGUAAAGCGCACGCAAGUGGAUUUAUAAGUCAGGGGUGAAAUCACGGGGCUCAACCUCGGAAUUGCCUUUGAUACUGUCUAUCUUGAGUCCGGGAGAGGUGAGUGGAAUUCCUAGUGUAGAGGUGAAAUUCGUAGAUAUUAGGAAGAACACCAGUGGCGAAGGCGGCUCACUGGCCCGGUACUGACGCUCAUGUGCGAAAGCGUGGGGAGCAAACAGG